rnacentral:lncRNA from 1 species
UUUUGUAUUUUGUCGGGUCUAUAUUUUCAAUAAGUUUUCAAUAUUCUGUCUUGAGUCUUGAAAGACGAAUGGAAAGAUGUUUUAAUUUUAAUAGUUUUGAAGUGUUUAUUUUUGCAAACAAUUAUAAAAGCUAUUCUGUAAAAUAAUUAAGUUUCUGGGCUUAGUCCUUAAAAUGUUAUUUUUAUUUUAUUCGUCUCAAAGUGAAAAAAUACUAACGCGUCGUAAUUAUUUGAAAGUUUAACAAAGCUUGUGCGUGGCUAGGUGAAUGGGUGACUGAUUUCUGGCCUGGAGAAGAAGGGCAAUUGAUUUUAAGUAUGGUGCUUUUUGCUUUUAACAGAAGAAUCUCAUUUUUCUUUUAGUGCCCAUGUUUAAGAUGUAGAAAUUUGUGUUGAAAGAAUGUUUGAAGAUAUAAGAUAGGUACCUCAAUAAGUUUGCAAUUGUAAACCUCAAUAAGUUUGCAAUUGUAACCAUGCACAGGCAUUGUAUUCUACAUCCACAACCUAAGCAAGAUUUGUGUUCCACAUCUUUGUAUCGGUAAUUACAAGUAAUAAAUAUAAAUAAUCUUAAAAGCAAUGACAUAAAAAAAGUAUAGGUCAGGGAUAUUAAUCAUUUUUUAAAAAGAUAUCAAUACCUUACUUUGAAAACCUGGUAAGUUCAUUUUUUUGCAAAAAUAUUUAUAGUCUAUUUCGAUAAGGACCUCAGCCUAUUGUAUACUAUUGUAUUUUAUCUCAGGACAAUUUUUUUUCAUAAUUAAUAGAAAUAGAGCUCACUGGAAGAAGAUUUUUUUCCAAGGUUUUCAACUCAUACUUAAUAUGUUGAAAAGGUGUUAUUUAACUGCCAUAACAUUUUUUUCCUCUGCAAUAUUUUUCAAAAAUUUGGUGAAAUGUUUCAAGUUAAAUAAUACUCCUUUCUACAGUCUUUUGAAAGUGAAAUAACGUGGAUAUUUAAUAAAACUACUUUUGUUUUAGAUGGGUUAGACUAUUGUGUUUAUUUCUAGAGAGAUUUCUAGUUUCUCUAGUUAUAGAUACAGAUUAGAUGAUUAGAGUACAAAUGAGUUGAAAAGGAUUUUAGAUCUACAAAGAAGGUACAUGUUAUCGUAAGAAAAGAAUUUCAUAAUUAAUAAUUGAGAUUCAACCUAUAAAUUGUUAAACAUUAAUAGAAAUACAAGAUUAUGAUAAAAGGUACUACUAAAUAUGAAUGAAGUUGGUUGGUUUUUCAUCUUUCUACUGUAUAUUCUAAUGGAUUUGAAAGUGGUUAAAGUUCACUGUCUCUAUUCUCAAAAAAAAAUGUUUAGAAAAAUUAAGUGUUAUCAGACUUAUCAGAUAAUAUUAACUUUGAUCAUUUAUUUUGUCCUAUGUUUUAAAAAGCAAUGAUUUUUUUAUUUUUGAAGAUUUGAAUGGAAUGUCAUUAUAAAAAUCGGUUUUAGUCACACACAGAAGUCUAUUAAUCUUUCACUCUUUGUAUAUCAGAAAUUGAAAAUCUAUAUAUUUCUAUAGGUCUGGUGGCAAUUUUGAAUAUCGACCACUUGUUUUCUUUUCCAUGUUUUAAGGUUUAAGAAGAACAUUUUUCAGAGAUCAAGAUAUAGGCACACCAGUUUGAAAACUUAGUAUGGAACCAUUCUUGAAACUGGAAAUGUAUACCUUCGGGAGUGUUUUUGGUAUCUGCACAAGGACAAGAAAUUACAAAAUAACUGUUAAAGGAAUUUACAAUUUGCAAUGGACAUAUGGUAGCUGUGCAAAAAUUGGAAUUGGUUGUGCAAAAUUGUACAGUGUGUCCCAUUUUGGUUGAAAUUAUACGGUAUCUCCGUUAUUAGUGAAGAUAGAAGGUGUCCCACUUUAUUGUCAAACGAAAUAUGCUGUAAACAAAAUUUUCAUAGCCCUCUUUGUUUCUGAAGUUAUUCUAUAUUCUCUUUGUUUCUGAGUUAAUUUAUUAUCUGUUAUUGUAGAACUUUUUACGGAGAAUACAGUGGCGUAGUCUGUUAU